rnacentral:lncRNA from 1 species
AUAUAAUGGUGAAAUAUGUUAGUAAUUUCAAUUUAAUUGAAAGUUAUUAUGGAUUACCCAAAAAAAGUAGCGGAUUUUGGAUGUGAUCUAGAAUUUAUGAAAAAUUUGAAGAAUCUUGUUGAGAAAAUAAAAUAGAAUGAAGGUAAUUAAAAAUGAUGAACAAUUAUUAUAAAUAAUUUUUUUUAUCUGAUGUCUUGAGUGG